GAGAAUCUAGAAAUAGAAAAAAAAAACACAUACAUUUAACCAGAGGACGAAGGUGAAAGAGGAAUGAAGAACCAGAAAGGAACGCUUAGCCAGAGAAUGAAGAUGUAGCUGGAGAAGAGAGAAGAGGAACGGAGAGCCGAAUAGAAACGAAGAAGAGAGAAGAGGAACAAAGUUGUACAUAUAAGACGAAAUUGGAGAGAAGACGAAGACGAAGCUGAAGAACGAAAAAUGCCUAGUUAGGGAGAAGACGAAGCGAGAGAACAAAUAACGCCUAGUCGGAGAAUGAAGAACGCCUAGCUGGAGAACGAAGAACACCUAGCCGAAGAACAAAGAAUGCCUAGCCGAAGAACGAAGAACACUUAGCCGGAGAGAAGACAAAAUCGAGAAAGGAGAAUGCCAAGCCAGAGA
rnacentral:lncRNA from 1 species